rnacentral:sRNA from 2 species
GAGUAGGUUUUCUAGGGUUCCGCGUAUUUUUUGACGGUCUGGUCCGAGAGAAAGCCCACAGUUAUUUAGCUGUGUCACGGAAGGAUAAAAGCCUGGGAGAU